rnacentral:lncRNA from 1 species
UUCCCACUCUCAACUCACACGACGACAGUGAUCAUGAAGUUUGCUAUCCUGAUCUGCGUUUCUGUUCUCUUUUACCUCUCUGUGGCAGAAACACAACAGAGCGAGGACAACAAUGUUCCUGAUUUUGGAUGUACUCGUGAGUACAAUCCAGUGUGUGGAGAUGAUGGAGUCACAUACUCCAAUGAGUGCAUGCUACACUGGGAGAGCAAGCAUCGUAACAAGAACGUCAGCCUAAAGCACGUAGGAGUGUGUGAGACCUCCUGAACUCACUGCUGUUACAUCUAUGGCAUCCAAAAUGGCUUUCCAUUUAGAUACUACAGCAACUACGAAUGAUUUUCUGUCAUACGUUAAUCAGUAUCAUAUAAUGACAUAUGCUAUUUGAACUUUUCCAGACAUCACUUUGUCAACAUGUAAUUUCAUGCAAUAAAACAGUUUAGAAUUUAAGAGCUCUAUUUUAUUAAUAAAUUAAUAAAUAAGAACUGUAAUUUCAAAUAAACCAUAUUUAUAAUCUACAUUUUCUUUCUUUCUGUAGGAUUUUGUAGUACAUAAAAGCAUUUUUUUCUUCUGGACCAGAUAAAAAAAAAACUACAGAAUCUUCAGAAAGCUAAAAAUACUUAAAAUUACAUUUUUAAUAUAUGGGUGAAUACAUGAUUACUUUUUGUUUGCAUCAUUCAAAAAUACAUUAAAAAUUCAAUUUAUACAUACACUGACUCGA